UCCUAUAUUUAGUGUACAUACAUAGAGUAAAGCUGCAGAUUCAAUAAAGCUCUGCAUCCUCUUACUUUUUCUUGAAAAAUAAUGGAAUACUGUAAAAAUAAAAAACUGCAUAUGCAGAUCGCUAACAUAUAUUGUUUCUAUACAAAUGUCAUGACAGCAAGUAGUAAUUACUAGCUACAACGCUUAACAGGCAGUAUAUAUAUAAAUAUAUAAGAUUGUAUUUACAAGCAUGAAUCACAAAAGAUUUUUAGUUGCAAGCAAUCAGGUCAAAAAGUGAAAAUGCACUACAAACAGAAAUGAAAAAGCUUAAGGGAUCAGUUUCCAUAGGUUGCACGAAGAAGAACUAUAUAGAUGCAAAUAAAGGUUCAAUUCUGAGCAUAUACCUGAUUUUACCUGAACAAAAAAGUUUAUGUUUUGACUAAAUAUUUUACAAUUUUCAUGUUUGGUU